UCUGGCAGUGAUGACACUCUUGCCCUCACUGCAGUGUGGUGAUGAGAACCUGCUCUAUGCUGAGCCCUGAGCCAGA